rnacentral:rRNA from 1 species
AACGAACGCUGGCGGCAUGCCUAACACAUGCAAGUCGAACGAGACCUUCGGGUCUAGUGGCGCACGGGUGCGUAACGCGUGGGAACCUUCCCUUAGGUUCGGAAUAACUCCCCGAAAGGGGUGCUAAUACCGGAUAAUGUCUUCGGACCAAAGAUUUAUCGCCUUUGGAUGGUCCCGCGUUGGAUUAGCUAGUUGGUAGGGUAAAAGCCUACCAAGGCGACGAUCCAUAGCUGGUCUGAGAGGAUGAUCAGCCACACUGGGACUGAGACACGGCCCAGACUCCUACGGGAGGCAGCAGUGGGGAAUAUUGGACAACGGGCGAAAGCCUGAUCCAGCAAUGCCGCGUGAGUGAUGAAGGCCUUAGGGUUGUAAAGCUCUUUUACCCGGGAUGAUAAUGACAGUACCGGGAGAAUAAGCUCCGGCGAACUCCGU